UAGGGAAUCUUCCACAAUGGACGCAAGUCUGAUGGAGCAACGCCGCGUGAGUGAAGAAGGUUUUCGGACCGUAAAGCUCUGUUGUUGGUGAAGAAGGAUAGAGGUAGUAACUGGCCUUUAUUUGACGGUAAUCAACCAGAAAGUCACGGCUAACUACGUGCCAGCAGCCGCGGUAAUACGUAGGUGGCAAGCGUUGUCCGGAUUUAUUGGGCGUAAAGCGAGCGCAGGCGGAAGAAUAAGUCUGAUGUGAAAGCCCUCGGCUUAACCGAGGAAUUGCAUCGGAAACUGUUUUCUUGAGUGCAGAAGAGGAGAGUAGAACUCCAUGUGUAGCGGUGGAAUGCGUAGAUAUAUGGAAGAAUACCAGUGGCGAAGGCGGCUCUCUGGUCUGCAACUGACGCUGAGGCUCGAAAGCAUGGGUAGCGAACAGGAUUAGAUACCCUGGUAGUCCAUGCCGUAAACGAUGAGUGCUAAGUGUUGGGAGGCUUCCGCCUCUCAGUGCUGCAGCUAACGCAUUAAGCACUCCGCCUGGGGGAGUACGACCGCAAGG
rnacentral:rRNA from 1 species